rfam:Schistosoma mattheei strain Denwood, Zambia genome assembly, scaffold: SMTD_scaffold0002879
AUCCAUCUGACGAGUCGAAAAUAGGACGAACCUCGCGUUUUGGAU